rnacentral:rRNA from 1 species
AUUGAACGCUGGCGGCAGGCCUAACACAUGCAAGUCGAGCGAGCGGCGGACGGGUGUGUAAUGUAUGGGUAUCUGCCUGAUUGAGGGGGAUAACUACUGGAAACGGUAGCUAAUACUGCAUACCAGCGGAUGAACCCAGAUGGGAUUAGCUAGUUGGUGGGGUAACGGCUCACCUAGGCGACGAUCCGUAGCUGGUCUGAGAGGAUGACCAGCCACACUGGAAUUGAGACACGGCCCAGACUCCUACGAGAGGCAACAGAGGGGAAUAUUGCACAAGGGGCGGAAGGCUGGUGCGGCCAUGCCGCGUGGAUGAAGGAGUCCUGGGGGUUGGAAAGUACUUUCAGCUGGGAGGCUUUACCCUCAGAAGAAGCACCGGCUAACUCCGUGCCAGCAGCCGCGGUAAUUC